rnacentral:rRNA from 1 species
GGUUAACGGCUGGCGGCGCGCAUAACACAUGCAAGUCGAGCGAGGGCUUACCUUUCGCAAGGGAGAUGAGUUCCUAGCGGCGAACGGGUGAGUAAACACGUGGGCAAACCUUUCCUAUCGCGGGGGAUAACAGCGGGAAACCGGCUGCUAAUACCGCAUGUCGUCACUGGUCGCAUGGCUGGUGAAGAAAGCAGCAAUGCACGAUGGGGUGGGCCCGCGGCCUAUCAGCUAGUCGGUGGGGUAACGGCCUACCGAGGCGAUGACGGGUAGCUGGUCUGAGAGGACGGCCAGCCACACGGGGACUGAGACACGGCCCCGACUCCUACGGGAGGCAGCAGUGAGGAAUCUUCCGCAAUGGGCGAAAGCCUGACGGAGCGACGCCGCGUGUGCGAUGAAAGUCC